CUACCGGGAUUGCCUUAGUAACGGCGAGUGAAGCGGCAAUAGCUCAAAUUUGAAAUCUGGCUUUUUGCCCGAGUUGUAAUUUGCAGAGGAUGCUUCGAGAGCGAGUACGGUUUAAGUCCAUUGGAACAUGGGGUCAUAGAGGGUGAGAAUCCCGUACUUGACUAGUGCUCAAUCUCAAACGUAGCUCCUUCGACGAGUCGAGUUGUUUGGGAAUGCAGCUCUAAAUGGGUGGUAAAUUUCAUCUAAAGCUAAAUACCGGCCAGAGACCGAUAGUGCACAAGUAGAGUGAUCGAAAGAUGAAAAGCACUUUGGAAAGAGAGUCAAAAAGUACGUGAAAUUGUUGAAAGGGAAGCGUUGGCAACCAGACCUGUCCACACGCGAUCAAUCCCCGUUCUCGGUGGUGCACUCGUUUGUGAUCAGGCCAGCAUCAGUUCAAGCGGUUGGAUAAAGGUCGUAGGAAUGUAGCAUCCCUCGGGGUGCUUUAUAGCCUUUGACGUAAUACAGCCAGCCUGGACUGAGGAAUGCGCUUCGGCUUGGAUGUUGGCGUAAUGGUUGUCAACGGCCCGUCUUGAAACACGGACCAAGGAGUCUAACAUCUAUGCGAGUGUUUGGGUGUCAAACCCGUGCGCGUAAUGAAAGUGAACGGAGGUGAGAGCCUUUGGGUGCAUCAUCGACCGAUCCAGAUGUCUUCGGAUGGAUUUGAGUAUGAGCAUAGCUGUUGGGACCCGAAAGGUACGUUUCCUAUUUCUCAUCUCAUCUUCGUUAGUUGCGGGUACAAUCAAUCAGAGCAUUCUACAGGGUAAGUCCGAGGCCAAACCUAGGACAUGGAAGCAGGCGACCUCCCUCCUACGGUACCGAGCGCUGUAGGAGGGUCCGACAUUAAUGCUCGCGCAACAAAUCUGGAGCCAGGCCGCCGUCUUGACUCUGCUUUUUUAAGCGGGUCUAUCACCAAUUGCUCGGGGGAAGACUGUCAUGCUGUGUUGAUUGAAGAGGAGGAUGGCGCCGUUACUGCUGGUGGCUCUGGGGAGGAAGAUUCGGGUGGCGGUUGAAAAAAUCUCUUUUGCUGCUGUGCUCGUCUUUGCUUGUCCGGUCCUCUGGCCCUUCUCUCUCGGCCCUCUGGCUCCUGGCUCUGGACUCUGGCUGCGCGGUUCGGGCUCCCUGGUCUUGUUCUGUGGGCUACUCUGAUUGAUUUUGCUCGGUGGCUUUCUUUUUUGGUUAUGUAGUUUUUUUAGAAAAAACAUAUGCUGACUCUAGCUGAAAGAUGGUGAACUAUGCCUGAAUAGGGUGAAGCCAGAGGAAACUCUGGUGGAGGCUCGCAGCGGUUCUGACGUGCAAAUCGAUCGUCAAAUU
rnacentral:rRNA from 1 species